GGACCGGGAAGUCGGAGGCGGUGGGCUCCUGGGUCGGCAGUGAUCUAAAUGCAAAUCUGAACACAUCGUGCGUCUCUAUCAUGGAUUAGGUGAAGGCGAAGUUCCUUAAGAUAGAGCACAUCCACCCUGGAGUUCCUGUCGUAGCCUGAAGUCCGUGAUGAAUUUGAAUUUCCUACGUAAGUUGAGAGCAAGCUGUGCGUGACAUCUGUCAACCCCACCGACGGCCGGAAUCGAUCUGGUGCAUCUGCCCUGCCUGAAAGCUGUCCGCUUUCUUCCCGGCUCUGUCACAUGCGUCUCUCUCAAAGCCACACGCCUCACUGAAGAGGCUGAUGUGCCUAGACAGACAAGGACGAGGACCUGUAAGGAGUCAGGUUCUUCUGCAGGAGCAUCCAAGGCUCGUUACCUACAUCUCCCACUCGCUGUGUCUCUGCACUAGGCGAGGAGCCACUCGAAGGUGACUUCAUUUUUUGUGUCUCCAGCCCCCCAGCACAAUACCCGGCACGUGUCGGACUCUAAAGUGUUUGUGGAAGUUCCCUCGUGGCACAGUGGGUUAAGGAUGGGGCGCGGGCUGCAACUGCAGCGUGGGUUCAAUCCCUGGCCCAGGAAUAUCCACAUGCAGGGGGAGGGAUGUGCGUGGAAUUAAUUAAAAGGAAACACCCAAACCACCAGGUCCAGGAUUUAGACAGCUUCAAUUCUACAUUAAGGCAACACAUAUUAAUAAAAAUAGAGCCAGGCAAAAUUCAGUCAGGCACACACACCGUUUAACUUCCUUGAGAGUCUUUACCCAGCCCACCGUUUACCGGCAGAAAAAAGCAGAGUCCGAGGACAGCCAGUAGAGGGCACCACACACCAAAUAUACUCAAAAUUCGGGGGCAGAAGUUGAGCCCGUGUUCCAAAUACUGCAGGUCUGCAGUGUUGUAAAUACACCAGGGUAGCAAACAUCCCUGUGGGCCUGUGCUCGGCACCUAUCUGAACUUCUCUUUGGGUUUAAUUAGGCAUGAAUUUCCCCGUUGGCCUCAUGGCACUAGAUUCCAUUUUUAGAGAUGAAUUUAAAGGGUGAAUCAAGAGAACGCUGGUUUGAAUGGUACGUUUGAAAACAAGACACGAAAUUGCGUGUGGAAUCUGAAAACAGCAAUGUUAAUACCUUUUUUAAAAGACAGCACGAGGAAGAAAUGCAAACAAAAAUCCCAAAGCGCGGACAGUGAUUCUUUUUGUGAUGACUGUUUAUGUGCACAGACAUCCACGUUUGCCCUUCUAUAGUCUCCAAAUUUUUGAGCAUGUCUACAAUGUGAAAUACACAUUUGAAUCAAAACCAGAUGUCAUACUUAUUAAUAGUUAGUUUUAUAAGAACUUCUCCUUAGCUAAAGGUAUUGCAGUCUCUUUGUAGGUGUAGUUACUGUUGGGGUAGGGUUAGGAGUUGCUGCUGGCCGUUUGGGUCAGUGCUUCUCAAGCUGGGCUCUACCCUAGAAUCAUCUGGGCACUUUCAACAAGUUCCAGGAGGCAGGCCUCACUUUGGAGAGUUCGAUUUAAUGAUGAACUAAAUCUGUCCCCAGGAGGUCAUUUUCAAGACCCUCAGAAGAGAUGCUAUUGGAAUAAACUCUCUCCCGUUUCGGUGACUUCUCUUUCUUGAGAGAUGUUGAAGCUAGAAGAGAAACUUUAUGGACUGCGUAACCACACGUUGACGGAUCGACCCCUGGGUGUGAGAUGGGGCGCCAGUACACCCUCCACCCGGGCCGGUACAGACACAUGCACAUCCUUCCGCUCUAAAACCCGGCUUAGUUCCAGUAUUCCGUGUAACUACCCUGCAGCCCUGGGGAGGUCAUUAGCUAAUGACAGUAAAGGGCUUUUAAAUGGAAACACGUGUCGUAUGAGGCGAAACACGGGCAACAGAGGAUUUCCACUCGCUGCCAGUACUUCCCAGCCAGACGGCUUAUGCAUCUUCACCCAAUGUCUCUUUAGCAACUGAAAUCUUCCUAAUAUUUAUUUCUAAACAAAUGGAGUUCUUUUAUUUAUGUUUUUAUUUAUUUGUCUUUUUUGCCAUUUCUAAGGCCGCUCCCGCGGCAUAUGGAAGUUCCCAGGCUAGGGGUCUAAUUGGAGCUGUAGCUGCCGGUCUCUGCCAGAGCCACAGCAAUGAGGGAUCCAAGCCACGUCUGCAACCGACACCGCCGCUCACGGCAUCGCCGGAUCCUUAACCCACUAAGCAAGGCCAGGGACCAAACCUGCAACCUCAUGGUUCUUACAUUCACUAACCACUGCAUCACGACGGGAACUCCCGUCAAAUAGAGUUCUUUAAAAAAAAAAAAAAAAGGCUUUUCUAAACAUCAAAGACCCAAGAUAGGACCCUUCUACUCUCUCAGAAGCAAGGUUCCUGCCUCAACAGAACACACAUAGUAGUGUGGUUUGUGUGAAUGAAGUUUAGGCAGUUGAGUGGUCUGCCUGGACCAUCGAAGGUGGGUUCCAUGAAAGGCUUACACUGGUAAUUCAGCAUCCGUCCUGGCACCACCCUAUGCAUCACCUUUGGCUUUAAAGCAAAUGAUUUGUGCACAUGGUAAUAAAUCAAAUAGCAUGAAAGCACCUCCAACAAAACGCAACGGGCUUUUCCCUUCUCCUUGCUGAGCCAGCGCCAGUCCUCGAGGGACAUUCUGGUUUCGGUGGGAGUGAGACCAGGCGGUGUUUGUUUCCCCGGCGCUGUCUCUGGCUUCAUGCAUUCUCAGCUUCCGUCCGUAUAGGUCUGAAAACCAGCAGGCAUCUCAUGCUGCCCUUCUCUUCCCAGCGUUUAACAACAUUGAUGAGCACUUCAUUUCCUCUACUGGAACUAAACUUUUCCACUUUUCAGCACGGACGCAAACGUCUACUUUUAAUAGAACACCUGUGGGUUUCCUGUGUAAAAUGAAGGUACUGGAUGCCCGUCCCAUUCCUCCACUGUUCCUCUCCCUUCUCUUUUGGUCAGCAGCACUUUAUCACUAACAAGAGUGUUAAUAUUUACAUUCUGUACUGCAAUUGCAAACAAUUCUUUCCUCCUUUAUCUGUGGGUUGACUUUAGAAGUUAAUGGCUUCUAGACGUCCUUCCCAAGGGGGUGGUAUGAGAGGUGAGGGCAAAGGGGAACUCGACAUUGGAGAAACCUGGCAAACGUGACCUCACCCAGGUUGUCGAGGUCAGGAGGAGUGAGCAGGCCUGUUGCUAGUACGUACCUUUGAUUUCAUGUGACAAAAACGGCCCUGGAACCUUGUGGUCCUUUCUGCAAACCACACAACAUCAUUCUAAUCAUAAGGAAACCAGCACACAGACCUCAAAAGGGGGAUAUUGUACAAAACACCUGACCUGUGCUCAGACCCGUCAAGGUCAUCAAAAAGAAAGGAAGGCUGAGAAACUUCCAAGAGGAGUCUAAGGAGACAGGAUAGUAUCUGGGAUGGGAUCUUAGAACAGAAGACAUUAGUUCAAAACUAAAGAAAUCUGGGGAAAAAAAAAAAGAUGGAUUCUAAUUAAUCAUGAUAUAUUAACACUUGCUCACUAAUUAUAACAAACAUGAUACUUGUGUAAGAUGUUAAUAAUUGGGGACUCUGUAGUGUCUUUACAAUUUUUCUAUAAAUCUAAAACUGUUCGACAAAAUAAAGUGUAUUAAACUAUAA
ensembl:lncRNA